AUUGAACGCUGGCGGCAUGCCUUACACAUGCAAGUCGAACGGUAACAGGUCUUCGGAUGCUGACGAGUGGCGAACGGGUGAGUAAUGCAUCGGAACGUGCCCAGUUGUGGGGGAUAACUGCUCGAAAGAGCAGCUAAUACCGCAUACGACCUGAGGGUGAAAGCGGGGGAUCGCAAGACCUCGCGCAAUUGGAGCGGGCGAUGUCAGAUUAGGUAGUUGGUGGGGUAAAGGCCUACCAAGCCGACGAUCUGUAGUUGGUCUGAGAGGACGACCAGCCACACUGGGACUGAGACACGGCCCAGACUCCUACGGGAGGCAGCAGUGGGAAUUUUGGACAAUGGGCGCAAGCCUGAUCCAGCAAUGCCGCGUGCAGGAAGAAGGCCUUCGGGUUGUAAACUGCUUUUGUCAGGGAAGAAAUCCUCUGGGUUAAUACCCCGGGGGGAUGACGGUACCUGAAGAAUAAGCACCGGCUAACUACGUGCCAGCAGCCGCAGUAA
rnacentral:rRNA from 1 species